AUUGAACGCUGGCGGCAUGCCUUACACAUGCAAGUCGAACGGCAGCACGGGGGCAACCCUGGUGGCGAGUGGCGAACGGGUGAGUAAUACAUCGGAACGUGCCCAGUAGUGGGGGAUAGCCCGGCGAAAGCCGGAUUAAUACCGCAUACGACCUACGGGUGAAAGCGGGGGAUCGCAAGACCUCGCGCUAUCGGAGCAGCCGAUGUCAGAUUAGGUUGUUGGUGGGGUAAAAGCCACCAAGCCGACGAUCUGUAGCUGGUCUGAGAGGACGACCAGCCACACUGGGACUGAGACACGGCCCAGACUCCUACGGGAGGCAGCAGUGGGGAAUUUUGGACAAUGGGCGCAAGCCUGAUCCAGCCAUGCCGCGUGCGGGAAGAA
rnacentral:rRNA from 1 species